CCAUAUAUCAAGCCCUAUCUUCUUAAGAUAGGCUUUAGUCUUUUGCUAGCUAAGUGACUUACCAAUGAGUUAUCCACAUCUCAUAUAGAGUUUGCUCUCUACAUCUUUUUAUAUUUCUACCAGAGGUAGUCGCAUGUUCUGUUGCUUUAUGUGCUUGGAUAUCUAGUGAGAUCUAGGCUCCUUAACAAGGACUAUGGUGCC
rnacentral:lncRNA from 1 species